rnacentral:ncRNA from 1 species
GUCGCGAGGUCGAAUAUGAAGGAAGUCGGCGGCAAACGUCUGGUCUGACGAACAGGAACUCAAAGAAACCGAACCCCGAUAGCUAUACGGAACCGCGGCUGUAAAUCAAGCAAGUAUAAGGCGGAAAGAC